GUUCCUUGGAAAAGGACAGCUGAGAGGGUGACACUCCCGUCCGCCUGGUAGAGUGAGUCUUUGUCAACGAGUCGAGUUGUUUGGGAUUGCAGCUCUAAUUUGGUGGUAAAUUCCAUCUAAAGCUAAAUAUUGGUGGGAGACCGAUAGCGUACAAGUACCGUGAGGGAAAGAUGCAAAGAACUUUGAAAAGAGAGUUAAAGAGUACCUGAAAUUGCUGAAACGGAAGCGAAGGAAACCAGUGUUUGUUGGUUCAUACUUCCCUUGUCACUUGUGAUGUGGGCGCUGUGAGCUUGCGUGGGUUUGCUUUGGUUGAUUCCUUUGGAAGAGCGCAGUCAGAGUUGAUGUCU
rnacentral:rRNA from 1 species